GUGAGUGUAGCUGUCAGUGUGUGUCUGUGAGUGAGAAUGGGUGUGCCUGUGAGUGUGUGUCAAUGUGUGUAUGUCAUUUUAUGUGUAUCUGAGAGUGUGUGCCUGUCAGUGAGUGGGUGUGUCAGUGUGUGUCUGUCAGUGAAAGUGUGUGUUGGUUAAACAGUGUGUGCCACUGACUGUAUGUGUGUGCCAAUGACUGUGUAUCUGUCAGUGUGUGUAU